AAAAAAAAAAACUGAAGAAGGUGCAAGUAAGAAAAAAUAUUUGAUUUGUUUCGGACUAAAAGUUCAGUAGAAACCAAAAAGAAAUUCCUCCAACUUCCCCUCUUUCACCAUUCAGAUAGACAGCUUAAUCCGAAUUAAAUAAUUAAGUCGGACCUUCUUCAGUCUUCAUGACUUUCUACUUCAACAAAACAUCUGAAAAUGCAACACAGAAAACAGAUUUUUAUUUUUAGGAAUAAGCAUAAACCAGCAACAUAAAUAUUUUUUAAAUAUUGUUAAUUUUCCUAAAAAUCACUUGAUUCUUCUCUAUCAAAUUCAAAUUAAUAAAUAAUUGAACACUAUUAAGAUCAUUAUUUAACCAAUAUGCUAACUGACCCAUGGCAUUAGAAGAUGCAUCACUCAAUGUGAAGACCAGCGUUCACUAAAGCCAUUAUAGUGGGGAGGUAAAGGCCCUUAAGGCGCGCAAAUAAAAUCUUCCCUAGUUGGACAUAUUUCAUUGAAUGAAAGGGAUUGUACAAGGAGAAAAUUUUAGCUUCCCAUAAGGAUAGGACGGUUGCUCAGAUCUCAUUCUUAGAUGUGUGGAAGUGUCAAGUUGGCCAUAUAUUGAAAAGAGUGCAUUGCCAACCAUGUAAGUCAUGCCUUUGAUUCAUAUUCGUUCAACAUAUAUAAACCAAAAAAGUUAUAUUUUAUGGGGAAUCAGGAACCACAAAUCUAAAUGUGAAUCAGCUAAUCAAGAUAUGAAUCAUCCUUGUAAGUUACGUGGAAAAUAUUAGUUCAAAAGUUGAAUGUUCUUAACAGAUCUCUAUUAUAGAAAUGGUUGUGGAAACUUGGCGUUCUGUGAAGGAUAGAGGCUGUGGCUAUCUCUUUUUAUCAUGAUAAAUAGUUGCUUUUGAGGUGGUGGCUAAGGGGUACAUGUUUCCUUCUGAUGGUAGUGUCUGGUUUGACAUGAAUUCUAUUCCCUUCAGCGACUUGAAGCAUUCUGCUAGCAACUUCAAACAUGCAUUCUCUUGAGUGCUCUUCAUUUAUUAACUUACUGACUUGCUCUGUUCUUAUCUUUAGCGUACCUUUUCUAUGCUUCCAGUGUACAUACUUUGGCAUUUUCAGUGAAUUUAGUUUCUUGUAAAAGAGUCUAUAUAUUCAUGUAUGCAUACAUACAAACAUACAUGUAGACAUCACUUACAUGCAUUAAAGCCCAGAACUUUACCUUCUCAUUUUGGUUGCAAAGGGUCAAAAGUUUCUCCACUCCAAUUCAUAUCAAUUCAACUCAUUGUUGCAAUCCUUCUUGAACACUCUUUUCUGGCGACUCACCAUAAUGAUGGAGGGCAUCAAGACUGCAGUUCUGUGGGACCCUCCAUGACACAACAGAAGAGCUCUUCAAACUUGGUGGCAAAGACAAAAAAUGUUUCCAAUCUUGAAGCAUAAUUCUAAGAUCAUGAAGCUUGCUAUCCAACCCGUAACAGCAAUUUGCGUGCAUAGUACAAACUAAACUAAGAUCUUUGCUGGGUUCACAAAGUCCACCAAAGUAUGCAGUAUCCAGGAAUCUCAUCUUCAAUCCAAGAUCCUCAACAAAAGUAUCAAACUUGAUAAAAUUAAGGACAUCCUGAUCAUGAUAACCAGGAUAAGUCUCCUGUGAAGAGUACCAGAACUUGUAAAACUCUAUUGACCGAUUAUUGGACCUCACGUAGUUAAAGCCACCAUUGGGUUUGUUCUCUAUAUUAACAGAGCUGCCUGUAAAAUGAUCACAUGCAAUCUGGAAAUCUGCAUCUGAAUAAAACCGCGGAAAUGGGUCCCUGAACCACAUGAUAUCAGCAUCCUGGAGGAGGAACCAGAACCAAAUUGAUAUUGAAUAUGCGGAAAAGAUAUUUAGAAAAAGGCUGACUGGUUAGCAUAAGAUGCACAGUAGUAGUAGAGAUUUCAACAUCCAAAUAUAUGAAGUGCUGCAAAAAAUAGAAAAAUGUUAUAGAACAUACUCCCGCAACACACACACCCCCUCCCCAAAAAAAAAAACAACUACUACCACUACUACUACUGUUACAAGCAUGCAAUCCAUGAUAUCAUUGGUUUGAAUAACCCUUGGAUCUAACAUGCCAUUUGCAAUGAUAUUGAUUCAUAAGCAGUCAUUUUCAAAUAGCCCCAGGACCAUAAUCAGUUACAUUUCAAUUCACAAAUUCUUCCAACCAUAUACCUUCCUUCAUGUUGAAAUCAGAUGAAAGGGUUUCAAAUUAAGAUAUUUGGAUGUGAUAAGAGGUAUAAUCAUUAAUGUGAACAAAAACACACAUUUGAUUGUGACUGUCUAUUAAAGGUGUAAUUUCAAAUCCAACUCAAAUAUGAUCUUAUUGAUAUUAAGUAAAGAAUGUACCUAACUUUAUUCAAACAAGUUAAACUAAAAUUUUCCUCCAAAUCACUUCAUUUGAAAUUCUUCCAUUCUAAUGCAACAAUUCAGUAAAUGAAAUGAAAUGCAAUGAUUAUCCAAUCUCUAAAAAUAGAUGAAAGAAGCAACAAAAUCAUAGAGAUGAAACGAGCAAUUUCAUGUAUGAUAAUAAGUCUAAUUAUGUUAUUAUGCACUUCUGCAUGCACCAAAGAGAGAGAAUAAAGUUAGAGAUUACCGUGAAAACAAAAUUAUAACCCAUCUCAAGAACAGAACGCAAGAAGUCAAUCCUUCUCCACAUCAUCUUCAAAUAGGCAGGGGUCAUAAAGUAGGCUUCCUUGUGAAAAUCAAUCCCCUCAGUGACAAGAGCAAAGCAAUGAGAAUGCACUUCCUUACAACGUGAAUAUGCUUUCUCAUCCAAUGCAAUAAUCACCAAGUGGUUCAAAAGCCUACGGGUAUGCUCCCCUAUUCUAAAGCUUGCCAGGAAGAGAUCAAUAAUCGAAUUUGGCGCUGCCCAGGCUUCAUUUAAAGUAGUCAAAAUAACAGUUCUAUCUUCCAUGGCCGCAUCUUUCAAUAUCGUUUCAAGCUUUUGCUCAUUACUGACAGGAACAGAAUCGCUAUCCAGGAGAGAAGGGAAAAUGUAAGGGAAAGAAACGGAGGAGCCAGAGGGGAACGUGAGGAAACGAAGAGAAUCGGCAGCUCCAUAGAGAAGCAAACAGAAAAUAGACAAGACGGCAAAGACAAGUACGGCGCGAGGAACAGGGGAUUCUGGCAACAUGUUAACUGCGGCAGAAGGAAAGCUGUUGACUCUGGAGCGAAGUACUGUCGUCGGCGUCAAGUGUCUCCGGUGAUUGAACCUGAACAAUAGCCCUCGAUUCAUUGGGCAGCAUGGCUUAGCUACAGCUAUUUAUAAUCAGUUACAGAGAGAGAGAGAGAGAGAGA
rnacentral:misc_RNA from 1 species